UCUGAGCUGAUUGCAUUGUUUUGUUUUGCUUAUUAUUGAUUUGCAUAUUUUCACGAGUUGUAUUAAUAUUCUGUCGUGCUCAAUGUUAAAAGUAUUUGAUUUUCCGGAUCAAGUUAUCGGAAUUAGUAGGCUAUCUUCCAGAUGUGUGAUGGUUUCAGUUUAACGAAAGCUCGGGCGGAACUGGCUACAAUAACGUUUAUCUAAUCGACAUCUUUUCUACAAGGUAGAACUUCUGCUCGUUAAUGUUUUCGAUUUCGGAUCGAUGGAUUACCAGAGGCAUUAGCUGCAUUGUAUCAUCUACAGAAACGUUCGGCAAUUUUCUGGAUAACAGGAACGGGAAGACUAGCAAAGCCUUUCUUUCAAUCAUGAUCUGUUUCUGGGAGCAAAUAAUGAGAGAGGGCUUGGAAGCCGCAGACAUUCCUACUGAUAUCCAAACAGCAAGCCGGGCCGCACUGGAAUACUGUUAUUCGAAUCAGAAGAGGACAAUAUUUAACAAACAAGGAUGUCGUAAAUUGAAAUUGAAGACGGAAACUUUUGUGGUUCAUGCUCCACACGAGAAGAUUUACAGCGCUUUCGGAAUCAAUAUGCGGAACAUUGGUUGGAGUUGCAGAACAAUAAGUUAAUUACAAAAUGAUAACAUUAGUUCAGAUAUUAUUUCGAAAAACCCGAGGAAUUAGGGUUACAAAGAUGAAUAGAUUUGGUGUUUAAUAAAUUGUUAUUUUUAUACUAAACCGGGUACUAAACCUAUUAGUUUAAGAAUCAAUUAGAAGAAAAUGCAUUCGCAUAACGGAAAAGUAACAAAAAUCUUUUUAUUUUAGAUUUGCAAAUUUCACGGAGCUCACGCUUAAUUUAUUUUUGAAUUUCAAGCUAAAUACAAUAAAUGAAAAUGAACUACUUCCGA